CUAUUAGCAUCGUGAGGUAUUGAGAUGGGGAAGCAGAAGUCAGCAGACGCCAUAGUAGGCUUGUCACCGCAAGCUGAAGGGC
rfam:Endozoicomonas numazuensis strain DSM 25634 scaffold00003, whole genome shotgun sequence.